CCACUAAUAUCCUGCGCGCGGCUGCAAAGCGAGUUUCACUCACACACUCUAUGCAUCAAGACUUGUGAUCCACCUGGUGAGACUGGGAGCACAGCGUGUCGGAGCCAGACACUGUUUCAAUCACAUGGCAAGCCGGAAUUGGAGGAGAUGUGUUCCUAAGAAAAUCAGAGAGCUGUGUGCAAUCAAGAGUCUCCUUCUCCCCGCUUUACACAUUCACUAACACACACGUACAUGCGAUCCAGUUGGCAAUCCAAUCCACUGUUAUGUUGGCUGCGGUCAGGAAGUGCUAAUGAAGUUAUUAAUGAUAUUCAUAUGUGCAGUGGCGUGCAAUCGGGGGGGGGAGGGGACCAGGCCUCCUUAAGCCAGCUGGUCGAUGUGUUAAAUUCAUGAUAAUCAAUAAAGUGGGGAAGUGAGAGGAGGAGACUUUCACUUAUAAAUAAACAGACGGAUACAGAUGAUGCAGGCAAAAACAUAGGAUAACAAAGGAACUGCUGCUUUCCAUUAACAGAUUGGUGGUCAGUCCAAGUCCUAAGAUCAUCCACAGAGUAGGGACGCUCUGUUAUCGCAGCAAUUGUUAAACUCAGCAAUUAAGAUGGCGGAGGGACUGGGAGACAGUCAGUCCUCAGCUCCAUGCUCCACUACAAGGGCUGCAUGAAGUAAGGACCUCCUUCUCACUGCGGCCUCACUGGUUGUCUAACGACUCCCUCUGCUGGAUGUCCACGUUGAUCAGAGUCACGGGCCGUCUCAUCGGCUUAUCUGAUUUCUGUGAGGUUUUAUUCUCUACAGCUCCACAAUCAGUCUGUCUUUCUAACAUGAUUUAAUUAAUACAAUUUUGAAUCCUUAAAAAACUGCUUUCCGAGUGCAUGUUUCUAUUCAGUGGUCAUAUGAUUUAAAAAAAUAAAUAAAAAAUGACACAGGA